GGCGUGGAUAAGGCAUGCAAGUCGAACGCGAACGGAACAGCUAAUUCGUUAGUAGUUCUUAGUAGAGUGGCGAACGGGUGAGUAACGCGUGAACAACAUACCUCUCAGAGGGGAAUAACACAGGGAAACCUGUGCUAAUACCGCAUAUAUCUUAGUAAUAAUAUUAUUUUGAUGAAAGGUGGGGACCUUCGGGCCUGCCGCUGAGAGAUUGGUUCGCGUCCCAUUAGCUUGUUGGUAGGGUAAUGGCCUACCAAGGCGACGAUGGGUAGCCGGCCUGAGAGGGCGACCGGCCACACUGGGAUUGAGAUACGGCCCAGACUCCUCCGGGAGGCGGCAGUCGAGAAUCUUCCACAAUGGACGAAAGCCUGAUGGAGCGACGCCGCGUGAGGGAUUAAGGCUUUCUGAGUCGUAAACCUCUGUCAGAAGGGAAGAACAGUUAGAGCAUUAAUAGUGUUUUGAUCUGACGUUACCUUCAGAGGAAGCUCCGGCUAACUCCGUGCCAGCAGCCGCGGUAAUACGGGGGGAGCAAGCGUUGUCCGGAAUCAUUGGGCGUAAAGGGCACGUAGGCGGUUUUAUAAGUCGAAUGUGAAAUCUCACGGCUCAACCGUGAAACUGCGUUCGAAACUAUCUAACUUGAGUUUGGGAGAGGUGUACGGAAUUCCUGGUGUAGCGGUGGAAUGCGUAGAUAUCACGAAGAACACCAAUGGCGAAAGCAGUACACUGGCCUGAAACUGACGCUGAGUGCGAAAGCGUGGGGAGCAAACAGGAUUAGAUACCCU
rnacentral:rRNA from 1 species